AACACAUGCAAGUCGAACGAAGCCUUCGGGCUUAGUGGCGCACGGGUGCGUAACGCGUGGGAAUCUGCCCUUGGGUUCGGAAUAACAGUUAGAAAUGACUGCUAAUACCGGAUGAUGUCUUCGGACCAAAGAUUUAUCGCCCAAGGAUGAGCCCGCGUCGGAUUAGCUAGUUGGUGAGGUAAAGGCUCACCAAGGCGACGAUCCGUAGCUGGUCUGAGAGGAUGAUCAGCCACACUGGGACUGAGACACGGCCCAGACUCCUACGGGAGGCAGCAGUGGGGAAUAUUGGACAAUGGGCGAAAGCCUGAUCCAGCAAUGCCGCGUGAGUGAUGAAGGCCUUAGGGUUGUAAAGCUCUUUUACCCGGGAUGAUAAUGACAGUACCGGGAGAAUAAGCCCCGGCUAACUCCGUGCCAGCAGCCGCGGUAAUACGGAGGGGGCUAGCGUUGUUCGGAAUUACUGGGCGUAAAGCGCACGUAGGCGGCUUUGUAAGUUAGAGGUGAAAGCCCGGAGCUCAACUCCGGAACUGCCUUUAAGACUGCAUCGCUUGAAUCAUGGAGAGGUUAGUGGAAUUCCGAGUGUAGAGGUGAAAUUCGUAGAUAUUCGGAAGAACACCAGUGGCGAAGGCGACUAACUGGACAUGUAUUGACGCUGAGGUGCGAAAGCGUGGGGAGCAAAC
rnacentral:rRNA from 1 species